UGACGGUACCUGACUAAGAAGCUCCGGCUAAAUACGUGCCAGCAGCCGCGGUAAUACGUAUGGAGCAAGCGUUAUCCGGAUUUACUGGGUGUAAAGGGAGCGUAGGCGGUGAUGCAAGUCAGAAGUGAAAACCCGGGGCUCAACCCCGUGGAUUGCUUUUGAGACUGUGUUGCUGGAGUACGGGAGGGGCAGGCGGAAUUCCUGGUGUAGCGGUGAAAUGCGUAGAUAUCAGGAGGAACACCGGUGGCGAAGGCGGCCUGCUGGACUGUAACUGACGCUGAGGCUCGAAGGCGUGGGGAGCAAACAGGAUUAGAUACCCUG
rnacentral:rRNA from 1 species